CACGAACGCUGGCGGCAGGCUUAACACAUGCAAGUCGAGCGCCCCGCAAGGGGAGCGGCAGACGGGUGAGUAACGCGUGGGAAUCUACCCAUCUCUACGGAAUAACGCAUGGAAACGUGUGCUAAUACCGUAUACGUCCUUCGGGAGAAAGAUUUAUCGGAGAUGGAUGAGCCCGCGUUGGAUUAGCUAGUUGGUGGGGUAAAGGCCUACCAAGGCGACGAUCCAUAGCUGGUCUGAGAGGAUGAUCAGCCACACUGGGACUGAGACACGGCCCAGACUCCUACGGGAGGCAGCAGUGGGGAAUAUUGGACAAUGGGCGCAAGCCUGAUCCAGCCAUGCCGCGUGAGUGAUGAAGGCCUUAGGGUUGUAAAGCUCUUUCACCGGUGAAGAUAAUGACGGUAACCGGAGAAGAAGCCCCGGCUAACUUCGUGCCAGCAGCCGCCGUAAAAC
rnacentral:rRNA from 1 species